AGGGAUAUAGCCAAGUUGGUAAGGCAACGGACUUUGACUCCGUCAUGCGUAGGUUCGAGUCCUGCUAUCCCUGCCA
rnacentral:tRNA from 7 species